rnacentral:rRNA from 1 species
UACGUAGGGUGCGAGCGUUGCCCGGAUUUAUUGGGCGUAAAGGGCGCGCAGGCGGCUCGGCACGUCCGUUGUGAAAUCGCCCGGCUCAACUGGGCGGGGUCAGCGGAUACGGUCGAGCUUGAGCAAGCUAGGGGGCAAUGGAAUUCCCGGUGUAGUGGUGGAAUGCGUAGAUAUCGGGAGGAACACCAGUGGCGAAGGCGGUUGCCUGGAGCUUUGCUGACGCUGAGGCGCGAAAGCGUGGGGAGCGAUCCGG